GAUGAAGAACGCAGCGAAAUGCGAUAAGUAAUGCGAAUUGCAGAAUUCAGUGAGUCAUCGAAUCUUUGAACGCACAUUGCGCCCUGUGGUAUUCCGCAGGGCAUGCCUAUUCGAGCGUCAUUUCAACCCUCAAGCCCCGCUUGGUGUUGGGCCCCGCCCGCCGUGGCCGGCCCUAAAGACAGUGGCGGCGCCGCCUGGCCCUCAGCGUAGUACAGCUCUCGCUCCAGGGUCCGGCGGCCGCCUGCCAGAACCCCCCCAACUCUGUGGUUGACCUCGGAUCAGGUAGGGAUACCCGCUGAACUUAAGCAUAUCAAUAAGCGGAGGA
rnacentral:misc_RNA from 1 species